rnacentral:rRNA from 1 species
UACGUAGGGUGCAAGCGUUGUCCGGAAUUAUUGGGCGUAAAGGGCUCGUAGGCGGUCCAUCGCGUCGGGAGUGAAAAGCUGGGGCUCAACCCCAGUCCUGCUUUCGAUACGGGUGGACUAGAGGUAGGCAGGGGAGAACGGAAUUCCUGGUGUAGCGGUGAAAUGCGCAGAUAUCAGGAGGAACACCGGUGGCGAAGGCGGGUCUCUGGGCAGUAACUGACGCUGAGGAGCGAAAGCGUGGGGAGCGAACAGG